UACAGAGGGUGCGAGCGUUGUCCGGAAUCACUGGGCGUAAAGGGCGCGUAGGUGGCGCGACAAGUCAGUGGUGAAAGCUCGACGCUCAACGUCGAGUCGGCCACUGAGACUGUUGGGCUGGAGCACUGUAGAGGCAGAUGGAAUUCCGGGUGUAGCGGUGGAAUGCGCAGAUAUCAGGAGGAACACCGGUGGCGAAGGCGGAUCUCUGGGCCAUUACUGACGCUGAGGAGCGAAAGCGUGGGGAGCGAACAGG
rnacentral:rRNA from 1 species